UUUUGCUUGUGCUGCAUUGAACACACCUGGCUAUGGAUGCGAGGCUCCCAGCUCAACAUAUACACAGGCAUAAACGUAACGUAUGACAACCUGGUGCAAGUUUUUUCCUCGGAUUCGAGUGCUGCUGGGAAGCUACGACACCGCUUUGAGAGUGUUUCCCAGGCAAGUCGAGAAGCAUCUUCGCCUCCGGGUUAUCCGGAGGAUCGUCCUCGGUUUGGAUGGCGAUGGUGAUGACGAGCACAAGCGGCAGGAGCGUCGUCAUAUGGAGCAGCCUACUACAUAUCGCAUAGCUUCGACGAGAGCUUGUUUCCCGCCGAUGAUAAGACGACGCUCAUGGACCCAGCCGACGAGGGCAACGAAGCCCGCAAGUUGACGCACUGGUUCAUGCUCCCAACCUUGACUGGCUAUGUUCUCCACCCAGAUCUGCUGCGGUUUGGAGGCAUGGACGAAGAUGAAAUCCCAUGCGACAAGGACGAAGACUGCGCUUUUGAUGACAGUGGUAUCGAAAAGUGGGUUUUUGUGUCUUGAUAUGUCAUAUCUUUACAAUG